UAACACAGAUGAAAUGAUCUAGGUUUAAAAAUAGGAAAAGCCUAUAAAAAUCUGAAUGAGUGAUUUUAUUUUUGAAAUGCAACUUUAGAGAUUAUCUAAGGAUUUUAAAGGGUUAAAAUUCAGUUACCAGGGCAAAAUAGACCGACAGGUUAGUUUGGCCAAUCGGCUGACAGCAGGUAGGCCCGCCCACCUGCUCCCGCGUCUCUGGGAGCGAGCGAAAGUUUUUUUUUUCCCCGCUGCUGUGUGUGUGGAGAGACAGAAGUGCUGCUGUAGAGGGUGAAAACGGAGAAACCUGGAGAAAAUACAGCUAAAAAACGAACUACACUGAGGCUAACUUCAACACUACAAACGUGGUAGUUAACUGCUGUGAGAGUUUAGUUGUAAGUUCAGUGUUUAGAUAUAGUGCUUGAGACGACUACUAGCAGCGUCGGUAGCUUUGAUGUCCGUAGGAUUUCCCGCGACGCGCAGUCUUUGCUGAUUCAAGAGCGAGGUAAUUCAUUUAAAACUGCUUUUGUUCAUUCUUUAUCACCUUACUGUGAAAGCUAAUUUAUUUUGCACUGAGAGAAAGUACUGAAAGUCGCAUACGGUCUCGUAUGUUUCGGUUUUAGAAGACCUUGUGGCUUUACUGGGCGCCGCCAUUUUGGGUGUGUGUCCAGCCGCUCUGGUGAAAUCGGUCAGGUUUUUUUUGUGUGCGUGCUUCUUUUUCCAUUGUCUGGAUUGGAUCUGCGGAUGAAAAUUGAUGGCGAGCCGUCCCUCUUGAAUGAUCGUGGGAGCCAUUCCCUCUUCAGGAUCACUGGACCUGUCCCGCUACUACUGCACUUUGCGGUGUGGUAGGCCCCACUACAACACAAAACCCCUUCACUCACCUUCACACUCCUUCCCCCACACACAUCCAUACACCAACCCUAUGGAACUCUGAACUCUGACUUACCUUCGACAAAUCCAUUUUUUGUUUGGACUUUGGACUCACUUAAACAAACUCACCUGUUCACACCUUGGGACUGAGAAUUUGGAGCUGAGUAGUAGGAAUCAUUCCUGCAAUUAAGGGUUACUGUUGUACUGUGUGAAUUCUAUUGGAUUGUAUUAUUGAACUGGAUCUGAACAAACGUGAAUGUGGUGUUAUUAACAGAAAUUCAGGUUAAAGGGUGCACCCGGGAAUUUAAUUAUAGAACUACUUCAAAGAGUGAAAUACUCACUUUAAAUUUGGAAAGCAAGCAUUUCAUGCUGAUGUCAUAGCCUGAUUGUGAUAUCAAUAAUUGCCUUAUUCAUUGCUUGUUUUAUUAUUGUACUUUUUCAUUUUUGGUACCAACAAAUAUUUUUAUUUUUAUACAUAUCUUCAAAUAUAAGAAGCCGGCAUUAUCCUACAUCUAA